GUUGUUAUAAAUACUAAAUUACAGUAUGUACUGCAUUAUGUAAAUAUAUAAAAUUUAUUAAAAUUUUCAUUAACAUUUUGUGAUUUCUCUUUCCAAACCUAGAGCUCAAAUCAUUGGUAGUUACUUGACCUCCGAAAAUAUGUUUAAUGUAUAGUGAUGGAUAUUGGAUUGGUUCUGAGAUAAUUAUGAGUCAAACAUAAAUUUACAUUUUAAUUUAAAAACAAAUACAUUUUUAAAAAUUUUCCCCCAAAAUGCCUGAAUUACUAUCAUUGCCUCAGUUCAACUAUUUCAACAAAUCUAGUAUAUGUCAUCAAGAGUGUUUCAUUUUCUUUACAAAACUAGUAGUGUUACUUAAGCACGUCGUUUGAUCCUUGCUGAUUAGCAGAGAUUGGUACAAAACCUCUUCAAUUUUCAGACCUUGAGGAUUUCAGCAAGUAUAAUUUCAUGACCACAUGCAGUAUUCCAUCAAUGUAUCAGAUUCCUCAAAUUUGCCACUGACAAUACCUCUCCCUUAAGAGAAGUUCAACACUUCUUGGUCUAAAAAAUAUAAAGCAGUUUAAUUAUUAUCUAC
rnacentral:lncRNA from 1 species